rnacentral:lncRNA from 1 species
GGCGGCGCCUCAGAGGAGAGUUCGGACUUGCAGAGAGGAAGCACAGCGCGUUUUCAAGUUCUCUUCUCGCGCCGCUUUCUGGAGAGACCGAGAGGAAGAACUCAGACUCCAGGCGGCUUCCUCGCUUCCCCUUCCCGGUCUGACGCCGAGCGCGCCGAGUGCUCUUAGGUGACGGGGGCGUCUCGGAGGGACGCGCAGAGGAGAAGCGAAGAAGGAACGGAGAAUAACAACGGUUCUGUCCGGAGGGACGCGCAGAGGAGAAGCGAAGAAGGAACGGAGAAGAACAACGGUUCUGUCCGGAGGGACGCGCAGAGGAGAAUCGAAGAAGGAACGGAGAAGAGCGGCCCUCUACUCCGACGCUCUGGCCUGCUCUCGGAAGAGCGGCAAGACACUCUGCCUUGUGUAUCGGCACCGAAGUUUCACAGGCGAAGAGAAGAGAGUGCAGAAAUGCAUUUGUGCAUCUGCUCGUUUGAAACGCGUCAACAGUCUCGAUCACGACAGAAAACGUAGCGAAAGGAAGGCCCCGCCGAAACCGUAAAGAGGAACUCGAAAUUGCCACUGCGCGUACUCGAGUAUCGACAACGACGUCCGUCCCCGCGCCUUCUCCUCUCAAAAAAACGACGAGCGGCCAGGAGGGACACUGAGACUUGGGUAUCGCAACAAGAAUGCUUUGAGAGUCUCUAAAUGCACUGCAAUCAGGCUAGCGAGCUAGCUCCGUCGAGUUUUCGACACCCGCCAACGAAAACAUACAUGUUCACACAGGAGCGCAAGCGCCUUCGUAGACAAUUUUGCGCAAACAAAGAGGUGUAGCUUAACCGCUCACAUCUACGUCGAUAUCAACAUAUAGACAUACGCAUACGCAUACAUCUACACAGAUCGAUAGCGACAGAGAGAGAGAGAUAUGGUCGAGGCCAUUUGUAUACCUGUGCGCAGAACGGAUCGCAAGUCAGGAAGGGGAGUUGAGUUGAGAGAGGAGCGUUUUUCGAGCGGUCAAAAGGACUUUGUCGCGAUUUUUGAGACUGCUGGAAUUUUUCCGAAGAAUCUCUCAAGCGGCGGAAGACCAAGCGUUUAGCUCCCAUCAACUAUGUCGGACUCGAGCUCCGUGUAGACGAGAGUCAUCCCCUCACCGUGGCGACGCAAUUCUCUUCGUCCUUUGCCCUUAUCUCUCUUUUUUCGACGUCUCGCUCUCGCCAGCGUUGUCGCUUUCCACCUCACUCACCCGCUCGCCCCUCCCCCCCCAUUUUCUCCUCUCUAUUUGCUCUCCUUCUUGAGCAUGGCUUCUGCGGCACCUGCUCCUCCUCCUCGCCUUUUUCGGAGGAGACCUCUUUCCCCGUUCCCCUGUCCUUUCGAUGUUCCAUCCUCUCUUCGCUCUGCGUCUCCCUUGUUCGAUUUCCACGCCUCUCCUUCUCCCUCUUCGCGUCCAAGGUCCUCCUUGCCGUCUUCCGCUCUCGCCGCAUACACACGAAGCACGAAGCCGCCUGGAG